rnacentral:snoRNA from 1 species
GAAUCCAAGGAUGAGACUAUAUCAUGAACCAAGGAUAUGAUUAACCCAGUUCUGUACAUCAGAUGUCUGUU